GAUGAACGCUAGCGAUAGGCUUAACACAUGCAAGUCGAGGGGCAGCACAAGGUAGCUUGCUAUCUGGGUGGCGACCGGCGCACGGGUGCGUAACGCGUAUGCAACUUGCCCUAUACAGGAGGAUAACCCGUCGAAAGACGGACUAAUACUGCGUAUGCUCACAACUUGGCAUCAAGUGGUGAGGAAAGAAAUUCGGUAUAGGAUAGGCAUGCGUCCCAUUAGCUUGUUGGUGAGGUAACGGCUCACCAAGGCAACGAUGGGUAGGGGAACUGAGAGGUUUAUCCCCCACACUGGGACUGAGACACGGACCAGACUCCUACGGGAGGAAGCAGUGAGGAAUAUUGGUCAAUGGGCGCGAGCCUGAACCAGCCAAGUCGCGUGAAGGAUGACUGUCUUAUGGAUUGUAAACUUCUUUUAUACGGGAAGAACAAGAGUCACGUGUGACUCCCUGCAUGUACCGUAUGAAUAAGCAUCGGCUAACUCCGUG
rnacentral:rRNA from 1 species